AAAGAAUUAGUUAAAUUAUUAUAUAACAUAAAUAUGUCAAAUUUAAAUUAUUAUUUAAAUAUAAUAUUCUUUU
rnacentral:tRNA from 1 species